rnacentral:rRNA from 1 species
GUCUAUGGCCAUACCACACUGAAUGGGCCUUAUCUCAUCUGAUCUUGUAAGCUAAGCAAGGUCAGUCUAGCCUUCCCUUGAAGGUACAGAGCCAUGAGUG